CACCCGUUAGCCUAGAGGUUAUGGUUAUGGAUCGCCAAUCCAGAGACGGCGGGUUCGAUUCCCGUUCCGGUAG
rnacentral:tRNA from 1 species